rnacentral:lncRNA from 1 species
UGCAGGGACGUCUGUUUCAUGGCCCCUGUUAUGUUCUUCUCAGAGUGACCAGCAGUGGACCUGCGAGGGGACUUACCCAAUGAUGCCCGUCACCACGCUGGGACUGGCACUCCGUCUCUGGCCUCUUUAUACCUGAGGACACGCACACAGUGGAAGAGCUGCUGUCAACAUCACGCAACUGGCCAGACAAGAGCUUCUUCCCAGGGCCCUUAGUAGACGGAGUGAGCUGUGACUAUAACUCAGUACACUCUCGCCAUCAAGCCACACCAAGGAGUGGACACCAUGGCUAAAGCUGUGCAGUCAUGGGGACAGCCGACGCACGCCACUGAGCAGACUCUCGAGGGCAGUCUUCU